rnacentral:rRNA from 1 species
AGAGACAGCAGCAGCCGCGGGAAUACGUAGGUCCCGAGCGUUGUCCGGAUUUAUUGGGCGUAGAGCGAGCGCAGGCGGUUAGAUAAGUCUGAAGUUAAAGGCUGUGGCUUAACCAUAGUACGCUUUGGAAACUGUUUAACUUGAGUGCAAGAGGGGAGAGUGGAGUUCCAUGUGUAGCGGUGAAAUGCGUAGAUAUAUGGAGGAACACCGGUGGCGAAAGCGGCUCUCUGGCUUGUAACUGACGCUGAGGCUCGAAAGCGUGGGGAGCAAACAGGAUUAGAUACCCGAGUAGUCCCUGUCUCUUAUACA